rnacentral:lncRNA from 1 species
GUUUUGAAUGCAUGUAUUGUUUGUUUUGUAUGGUUACGAUUAAAUUGGGGAACUGGAGGUUAAAGGUAAACAAAAUUUUGUGUGGUGAAGUGAAUGGAUGAAACGGCAGCCUCACUGGAUAUCCUGAGAGAUGAUGGACGGACCGAGUCCAUUGAAAAUCCUACCGUGAACGUUGUCUCAUACCGGACGGGAUAUCGAGACUUGAUAAUUUAGCACUCAUAUCAAACAGGGUAUGGGAACGGCCCGUUUCACCCUCAUACAGACGGGUUAUUGAGGUUUAGUA